AUCCGGUUGACGAGUCCCAGAUAGGAUGAAACACUUGUCUUAGAU
rnacentral:hammerhead_ribozyme from 1 species